rnacentral:lncRNA from 1 species
GUGGACCCCCAGAGCCAUCACUCAGGGCAUGCACGUUACCUGGCCAGGACUUGUCCAAAAUGCGUUUAGCUACUGAUGUUAGAGAUCAGACAGAAGAGGCAAAGAAUGGAGAGGGAGAAGGAAUUCCUGUCCAGGAUAUUGGAAGGGAUGCGUGGAGAAGAGAGAUUGUUAGAAUCAGAACUGUCAAAUACCAGCUUUGGAAAGGACCUCAGAAAACCUUUCGAACAAGCUUUGUCCUAUAAAAAAGGAAAAAAGACCAGGAGAUUGACACCUGCUCAGUGUCACUCAGUUGGGAAUGGAACGACCGGCCACACGGUGGCAGCACUGUCCCCUAGCUCCUUGGCUGUGAUUAGCCCAGUAGGUGUUUUUGCUUCCACAGCAGGAGCACCCACCACCAGCACCACCACCUCCAGUUCCUUCAGAAACAAGCCGUUCUUUGAGGCGUACCCACAGUACUUAUUAGAAAGAGUUUUCUUAAUGCGUCUCCUUUCCUAAGUUAAUGACUUGGAAACGAUGAGGUUAGGCAUGAGGGGGCAACGUUGUGUCUUUUCCUAAUAACCAAUGUUUUACAUCUAACUUGCUAGGCUUGUGAAUCCAGCGGCUGUAUACAGGCGGAUGGGGAGAAGGGAGGUGAUGAGACACUCUAAUCACACUCUAAUCGAAUCAGGCUGGCCCGGAUGUGCUGAUGAGCAGGUGCUCUGGGAGAGGUCCCGGGCAGGCUCUGCUGUGCCCCUUAUCUGAACAGAGCUGAUGAGCUGGCCCCCUUCCAGAGGAGGACCAGAGCAGGGAGGGACACGGAAAGCAGGAGUGUCAGGGACAUAUGGAAGGAAAAGUGAGUAUUUACAGAGGAAAAGAUGACGUGAAUGCUGCGUUUAAACAUCGGAAGAGGUGUUGGGGAGAAGAGGGAUUGUUAGAUUGGUUGAAUGCUGGCUUUGGAAAGGACCCCAGGAAUCCCAUCAUGCAAACUUUGCCUCGUGAAAAAGGAGAAGAAGGUCUGGAGGUGGAUGCCUGCUCAGUGUCAUGCAGUUGGG